GUCACGUUAGAUUAAUGUAUUGUGAAGAUAUUCUGAAUUCCAAAAAUGAAAUAUAUGUAUAGCAUAUUCCGGUUUUCAUAUUUUAUAGGAUUUUUUUGCAAGACACGUUAGUUUAGAUUUGAUAAAAUCUCCCUAUUGAUGUGGUUAGAGUAUUUUAGUUUACGAUUUAUAAUCUAAAAAUAUCUGAAUAAAACCGUUGAUAUGACUGGAAGUGUUUAAUUCAAAUUUUGGUUUUAAUAGAUCAAACUAAACAUAUGUAAUAUAAACAGUGACCAUGAUCAAAACUCUAUAUGAGAGUAGCUUGUAUGCAAUGUAUAUUGUUGUUUUAAUUUUUUUUUUCACCUAUUGGAAUGUUCUGUACGUUGAAAGAUGAUCCAAAUAACUCAUAAUCUGACAUUAAAGUUAUUAUAUCUAAUAAUAUAUCGUGCAAGUUUGGAUGGUUUUGUACGAUAGAGUUUGGUUUAAUUAAAGUCAACGGGUUAUGUUAUUUAUUUAACAUAUCAUUUAAUUCGGAAGGGCUUAGUAUAUUAGAUGUUGGUCUAGUUAAAGUGAACCAGUUAUGUUAUUUAAUCAGCGUGUAUAUAGUUAUUAUGAUAA
rnacentral:lncRNA from 1 species